rnacentral:rRNA from 1 species
UACGUAGGGUGCGAGCGUUAAUCGGAAUUACUGGGCGUAAAGCGUGCGCAGGCGGUUUUGUAAGCCAGAUGUGAAAGCCCCGGGCUUAACCUGGGAAUGGCAUUUGGGACUGCAAGGCUGGAGUGUGGCAGAGGAGACUGGAAUUCCUGGUGUAGCAGUGAAAUGCGUAGAUAUCAGGAGGAAGACCAGUGGCGAAGGCGGGUCUCUGGACAGUUCCUGACACUGAGACACGAAGGCCAGGGGAGCAAACGGG